UUGUGAGGCUUGUGAUCUUUGGGGUUUCGUUGCUGAUUGGAUUUGUGGCCACGAAAUUGGCUCUGUUGGGAUGGAAGGAUAGGCAGAACCCUAUGCCCAAGUGGAGGUGUAGGAUUAUGUGGAUCUCUAGGGUCUGUACCAGAUGUAUUCUCUUCGCCUUUGGUUACCAUUGGGUCGGGUCGGAGCCGGGCGGACUCGAGUGAUGUCAUUUCAGAGUAUAGGGACCAUCGAAAUCGAUUUUCAGAAAGAUGGACUUAAUCUGAUUUUAGGCUUAAAAUUUAGGGAAGUAAACUGAAUUUAAUCCCAUUUUUUUCUU
rnacentral:lncRNA from 1 species